rnacentral:rRNA from 1 species
GACGAACGCUGGCGGCGUGCCUAAUACAUGCCAGUAGAACGCUGAAGAGAGGAGCUUGCUCUUCUUGGAUGAGUUGCGAACGGGUGAGUAACGCGUAGGUAACCUGCCUUGUAGCGGGGGAUAACUAUUGGAAACGAUAGCUAAUACCGCAUAACAAUGGAUGACACAUGUCAUUUAUUUGAAAGGGGCAAUUGCUCCACUACAAGAUGGACCUGCGUUGUAUUAGCUAGUAGGUGAGGUAAUGGCUCACCUAGGCGACGAUACAUAGCCGACCUGAGAGGGUGAUCGGCCACACUGGGACUGAGACACGGCCCAGACUCCUACGGGAGGCAGCAGUAGGGAAUCUUCGGCAAUGGGGGCAACCCUGACCGAGCAACGCCGCGUGAGGGAAGAAGGUUUUCGGAUCGUAAAGCUCUGUUGUAAGUCAAGAACGGGUGUGAGAGUGGAAAGUUCACACUGUGACGGUAGCUUACCAGAAAGGGACGGCUAACUACGUG